rnacentral:rRNA from 1 species
AGUGAACGCUGGCGGUAGGCCUAACACAUGCAAGUCGAACGGCAGCACAGUAAGAGCUUGCUCUUACGGGUGGCGAGUGGCGGACGGGUGAGGAAUACAUCGGAAUCUACUUUUUCGUGGGGGAUAACGUAGGGAAACUUACGCUAAUACCGCAUACGACCUACGGGUGAAAGCAGGGGAUCUUCGGGCCUUGCGCGAUUGAAUGAGCCGAUGUCGGAUUAGCUAGUUGGCGGGGUAAAGGCCCACCAAGGCGACGAUCCGUAGCUGGUCUGAGAGGAUGAUCAGCCACACUGGAACUGAGACACGGUCCAGACUCCUACGGGAGGCAGCAGUGGGGAAUAUUGGACAAUGGGCGCAAGCCUGAUCCAGUCAUACCGCGUGGGUGAGGAAGGCCUUCGGGUUGUAAAGCCCUUUUGUUGGGAAAGAAAAGCAGCAGGUUAAUACCCCGCUGUUCUGACGGUACCCAAAGAAUAAGCACCGGCUAACUUCGUG